UGUAAACUAAUUUUUUUGAUGCAGUGCCUAUCUCGGAACGAUUCAGCCCAGAAUCCGACGAUCACUCCGGCGACAGACAAAGUGCCUAUCUCGGAACGAUUCAGCCCAGAAUCCGACGAUCACUCCGGCGACAGACAAAGGGUAACGCCGGCAUGAAGGAACAGAGAGUGACGGUGCAGUGGCUGUCGGGGCCGCGGCGGCAAUAACUAGGAUGGGGCGUGAAACCGAGAGAGAUAUGACACAAUGGCGAGAAGAAGAAAAGUAGACGAAGGAGAAAAAAAAGCAGCGGAAACGGUAGGCGGUUGACCGAGAGAAUUGCCGGAGGUGGCGGCUGGCCGAGGUUGGUGAGAUAGGUGAAGCAAGCAAGUGUGAGGUACGGCGGAUGAACCGGCGAUGCAGGGCGGAAGGAGCGGUGAUAGUAGCAGAUUUAAUUGGGAAAAGAAAGAGAAAUUGGAAAGAGAGGGGGGCGGCUCUUGUGUGUGAAGAAGUAUUAGGGUUAGAUUAAAUAUUAAUUUAUGUAGUAAAAUUGGGAUUUAUUUCAUGUAUAUUCUAUAAUAAAUAAUAAUAGUGAUAGUAAUAAUUUUGUA